CCUGUAUCAGCACACAAAAACAGCGCCACAAUACGUGAGAAACAGAGCCUUACAGAAGGGAUCCGACCUCAGCCUUUAUAUGCUGAGUGCUUUACAGGCUCGGACAACAAAAACAGCACCAUGGCACCAAGAGAAAUUAACCGCCUAAAACUGAACAAAACCACCUAUUUCAGCUCACCGCUGCCAGCUUCCACCAUAAACAAGCUUUGGAGAGGAGUCGCUGCAGAGCAGAUGAUGCGCACCUGAAAGGAACCAGGCAACCAUAUUCAGCACCCAUGCUGCAGAGCUCAGCACAGGAAGGAUUCCUGACCAGUGUCCAUACAGCCUGAAACCAUUUACUCUCAGGCUGGCUUCAUCACAAUCUCUCAUUACUAAAAUGUGGUCACGCUUAUCACUCACAGACAUACAAUACGUACUCAUUUGCCUUAUUCACAGUGGGGCAAUUUGUGACACCAGAAGGAUGUUUCCUUGCAGCCUUUGCUGCUUAUGUUCUGUGGAGUACUGAUAUUUAAUUGGCUGAAGGUGACAGGCAGGUCUGGGGGCUCUCGCUGUUAUUCCUACUCACAUUUGAAAGGCUCGGCUCUCACCUUAUGCUCGUAAAAGGUAUCAAUCAGAGUAAUGAAACGCCGAGCUUGAGUCCUUUUUGCCAUGGUAAGAGGUGGGAUGUCGCGAACAAAGACUGUGUCAAAAUGCUUCGAUAUUUCCAAGUAGUCACUGGCCCCAAGAGGCUGAAAUAAAACAAACCACAGGAAAUGGAAACCCGUGAGAGAAAGAUCCGUCACACCAUACCCUGAACUACUACGCUUACAGACGAAAGGGAGAAAAGUCCUCAUCACAUUCUUACUUAUAAGAUGUAUAGAUCAUUUUGCCCUUCCUGACCCAGGUAAGCGCGUGCUCACUCAUACCAAUAGCUUCACCCAAACACAGUUUGUUAAAAACUUGGCUCUUCUGCACCCUGACCACCUCAUGUCUUGACAGCUUCAAACAGAAAUGAAACACAAACUGUAAACAGUAAUACAUAGGAGAAUAAAAAUAGCUAAGCAACAAUGUCAACCUAAAGCCUAAAUAAUCUGCACAAUGAAUAGGAUGCCAACCAGCAGCAAGACCUCUGAAAGCACACACUAGUUACUAAAUCAUAAGUACAGCCGCAUGUGCUUUGCCUAUUAAUAACUCGGACAAAAAACUCUUCUGUUUUAAGUACCAAAAGCAAGAGGAAACAGACAAAGAGACUAUUUGUAGCAGUUCUUUUGUUUGCAGUUUCGCUUGUAAUGGUGCAAUAAAAUGCUUUAAUAAGAACUUUUGUUUCUAUUUGUGUACCUAAACCAUCAACAGAAGAUACAGACAAGAAGUGGUACCUCAUUCAAGUACACAUUCAAACGUAUUCAUUUAAAACGACUUUCAUUACAUGGAAGGUCUUUUUUUUUUUUCCUGUGAGGUCUACCCUAUUAGUACUGCCGGCAGUAUUUUAUCUUGAGCUUUUAAGUCACUAUAUUCAGGAAAAGAGCAUCACACACCUGAAAUCCAUCUCGUUAGUUUUACUUGUGUGGGUACAUGAGUGCAUUGAUGUGACCAUUCCAUAAAGUAAGAUCAGCAGCAUCCUGCACAACGUUACAACUCCCUUCCUAACGCAAUGCACUGCCCCAACAGGACAGCAUGGCAAUAAUGCAGGGCAAUAUUGCUAACAACUUAAAAACAGGAAAACAGACAUAUUGUACCUAACAAACUACUAAACAGAUUUACUGUAGGCCAAGCAAAGCCGCUUCACUAGAAUCUUUCCUCAAGAAAUCAUGGGCAAUUAUUAACGACCAUCCAUGAAGAGGACUUUGGGUUUUAUUUUGAGCAUGGAAACAAACCCCCAUUCAAAGUUGCACAUUCUGUUUACUUUCUCUCUGGUUUCAGUGCCCCCUGCAAUUAUUAUGGUGUGAAAAUGUCAAAGAAAGUCAAAGGAACCGGUGGACAAACACAGCAGAGUCAGCCCACUCAGCAUCUCACCUCUGGAUAAAGGUCAAGACCAGCUGGAAAACAAUCGUAUUGAGUGCAAAGGGAAACAAGGCAAAUAGUAAAAGCAUGACACACCUUGUGAAGAAAGGAAGACACUAUGCUACUUUUGCUUCUUUCUACUGCCAUAAAAGCACUGUUUAUAGGUGGCUACAAUAGGCAUCCUUACGACAGCCAAACAAGAAUUCAGCCUCCUUCAGCAGCACAAGAAGCACAAGAAGCUAAGGAAUAUUAUUAGUGAUCUUCUUAAUAAAAGUUAAGUCUGGUUAGUCUGGUUCUCUGAACAGCAUCCUACAAAUAACCACUUAACUUGG